rnacentral:rRNA from 1 species
UACGGAGGGGGCUAGCGUUGUUCGGAAUUACUGGGCGUAAAGCGCACGUAGGCGGACUGCUAAGUCAGGGGUGAAAUCCUGGAGCUCAACUCCAGAACUGCCUUUGAUACUGGCGACCUUGAGUCCGGGAGAGGUGAGUGGAACUGCGAGUGUAGAGGUGAAAUUCGUAGAUAUUCGCAAGAACACCAGUGGCGAAGGCGGCUCACUGGCCCGGUACUGACGCUGAGGUGCGAAAGCGUGGGGAGCAAACAGG